rnacentral:rRNA from 1 species
UACGAAGGGUGCAAACGUUGCUCGGAAUUAUUGGGCGUAAAGCGCACGUAGGCGGCUUAGCAAGUUGGAUGUGAAAGCCCUCGGCUUAACCAAGGAAGUGCAUCCAAAACUGCUGAGCUUGAGUAGUUAAGAGGAUCGCGGAAUUCCCGGUGUAGAGGUGAAAUUCGUAGAUAUCAGGAGGAAUACCGAUGGCGAAGGCAGGUCUCUGGGCUGACACUGACGCUCAUGCACGAAAGCGUGGGGAGCAAACAGG